UGAACGCUAGCGGCAGGCCUAACACAUGCAAGGUCGAAGGGGGUUAGAGUUCUUCGGGACUUGAGACCGGCGCACGGGUGCGUAACGCGUAUGCAAUCUACCUUAUACAGGGGAAUAGCCCAGAGAAAUUUGGAUUAAUGCCCCAUAGUGUUAUCGAAUCGCAUGGUUUGAUAACUAAAGUUCCAACGGUAUAAGAUGAGCAUGCGUCCCAUUAGUUAGUUGGUAAGGUAACGGCUUACCAAGACAACGAUUGGGUAGGGGUCCUGAGAGGGAGAUCCCCCCACACUGGUACUGAGACACGGACCAGACUCCUACGGGAGGCAGCAGUGAGGAAUAUUGGACAAUGGGCGCAAGCCUGAUCCAGCCAUGCCGCGUGCAGGAUGAAGGCCUUCGGGUUGUAAACUGCUUUGUACGGAACGAAACGGUGAGCUCUAAUACAGUUUGCUAAUGACGGUACCGUAAGAAUAAGCACCGGCUAACUACGUG
rnacentral:rRNA from 1 species